GCGUCGAAGCAUGAUCGCAAGGACAUGUGGAGCGCUUAGAAGUGAGAAUGCCGGUGUGAGUAGCGAAAGACGGGUGAGAAUCCCGUCCACCGAUUGACUAAGGUUUCCAGAGGAAGGCUCGUCCGCUCUGGGUUAGUCGGGUCCUAAGCUGAGGCCGACAGGCGUAGGCGAUGGAUAACAGGUUGAUAUUCCUGUACCACCUAGUAUCGUUUUAAUCGAUGGGGGGACGCAGUAGGAUAGGCGAAGCGUGCUGUUGGAGUGCACGUCCAAGCAGUAAGGCUGAGUGUUAGGCAAAUCCGGCACUCAUAAGGCUGAG
rnacentral:rRNA from 1 species